rnacentral:rRNA from 1 species
UACGUAGGGGGCAAGCGUUAUCCGGAAUCAUUGGGUGUAAAGCGCGUGUAGGCGGCCCGGUAAGUCCGCUGUGAAAGUCCAGGGCUCAACCCUGGGAUGCCGGUCGAUACUGCCGGACUAGAGUUCGGAAGAGGCGAGUGGAAUUCCCGGUGUAGCGGUGAAAUGCGUAGAGAUCGGGAAGAAUACCUGUGGCGAAGGCGGCCAGCUGGGCCAGAUCCGACACUGAGGCGCGAAAGCGUGGGGAGCAAACAGG